rnacentral:tRNA from 1 species
GAUGAGGUGACCGAGUGGUUAAGGUGUUGGACUACUGAUCAAUUGUGUUCUGCAUGCGUAGGUUCAAAUCCCAUCCUUGUUG